rnacentral:rRNA from 1 species
ACCUGGCUCACACCGGUUUAAACUCAGAUCAUGUAAAAUUUUUAAGGUCGAACAGACCUAAUUUAUUAGCCUCUUCACCAAUAAUUAAUUUUAAUCCAACAUCGAGGUCGCAAUCUUUUAUUUCGAUAAGAACUCUAAAAAAAAUUACGCUGUUAUCCCUAAGGUAAUUUAAUCUUAUAAUCUACAUCCUAGGAUCAAUCACUCAUACAUAAAUGGUCAUAUAAAAAAAAAGUUAAUUCAAUUUUUUCAUCACCCCAAUAAAAUAUUUUUACAGCCAAAAUAAUUAUUAUUAAUCUUAAAUUUCAUUUAACUAUUAAAUAUAAAACUCUAUAGGGUCUUCUCGUCUUCUAUGUAUAUUUAAGCUUUUUAACUUAAAAAUAAAAUUCUAAUAAAUUUUUACAGAGACAGAAAUUUUUUCAUCAAACCUUUCAUACCAGCUUUCAAUUAAAAAACUAAUGAUUAUGCUACCUUUGCACGGUCAAUAUACCGCGGCCAUUCAAUAUGUCAUCGGGCAGG